rnacentral:rRNA from 1 species
GAUGAACGCUAGCUACAGGCUUAACACAUGCAAGUCGAGGGGCAGCAUAGUCUUAGCUUGCUAAGGCCGAUGGCGACCGGCGCACGGGUGAGUAACGCGUAUCCAACCUGCCUUACACUCUUGGACAGCCUUCUGAAAGGGAGAUUAAUACAAGAUGUUAUCAUGAGUAAGCAUUUUCGCAUGAUUAAAGGUUUACCGGUGUAAGAUGGGGAUGCGUUCCAUUAGAUAGUAGGCGGGGUAACGGCCCACCUAGUCUUCGAUGGAUAGGGGUUCUGAGAGGAAGGUCCCCCACAUUGGAACUGAGACACGGUCCAAACUCCUACGGGAGGCAGCAGUGAGGAAUAUUGGUCAAUGGACGAGAGUCUGAACCAGCCAAGUAGCGUGAAGGAUGAAGGUUCUAUGGAUUGUAAACUUCUUUUAUACGGGAAUAAACGAAUCCACGUGUGGAUUUUUGCAUGUACCGUAUGAAUAAGGAUCGGCUAACUCCGUGCCAGCAGCCGCGGUAAUACGGAGGAUCCGAGCGUUAUCCGGAUUUAUUGGGUUUAAAGGGAGCGUAGAUGGGUUGUUAAGUCAGUUGUGAAAGUUUGCGGCUCAACCGUAAAAUUGCAAUUGAUACUGGCAGUCUUGAGUACAGUUGAGGUAGGCGGAAUUCGUGGUGUAGCGGUGAAAUGCUUAGAUAUCACGAAGAACUCCGAUUGCGAAGGCAGCUUACUAACCUGUAACUGACAUUGAUGCUCGAAAGUGUGGGUAUCAAACAGGAUUAGAUACCCUGGUAGUCCACACGGUAAACGAUGAAUACUCGCUGUAGGCGAUAUACAGUCUGCGGCCAAGCGAAAGCAUUAAGUAUUCCACCUGGGGAGUACGCCGGCAACGGUGAAACUCAAAGGAAUUGACGGGGGCCCGCACAAGCGGAGGAACAUGUGGUUUAAUUCGAUGAUACGCGAGGAACCUUACCCGGGCUUAAAUUGCAACCGAAUAUGGCGGAAACGCUAUAGCUAGCAAUAGCGGUUGUGAAGGUGCUGCAUGGUUGUCGUCAGCUCGUGCCGUGAGGUGUCGGCUUAAGUGCCAUAACGAGCGCAACCCUUGCCGAUAGUUACUAACAGGUUAUGCUGAGGACUCUGUCGGGACUGCCAUCGUAAGAUGUGAGGAAGGUGGGGAUGACGUCAAAUCAGCACGGCCCUUACGUCCGGGGCUACACACGUGUUACAAUGGGGGGUACAGAGGGCUGCUACCACGCAAGUGGAUGCCAAUCCCAAAAACCUCUCUCAGUUCGGAUUGAAGUCUGCAACCCGACUUCAUGAAGCUGGAUUCGCUAGUAAUCGCGCAUCAGCCACGGCGCGGUGAAUACGUUCCCGGCCCU